GACGAACGCUGGCGGCGUGCUUAACACAUGCAAGUCGAACGGAAAGGCCCUGCUUUUGUGGGGUGCUCGAGUGGCGAACGGGUGAGUAACACGUGGGUAACCUGCCCUUGACUUUGGGAUAACUUCAGGAAACUGGGGCUAAUACCGGAUAGGAGCUCCUGCUGCAUGGUGGGGGUUGGAAAGUUUCGGCGGUUGGGGAUGGACUCGCGGCUUAUCAGCUUGUUGGUGGGGUAGUGGCUUACCAAGGCUUUGACGGGUAGCCGGCCUGAGAGGGUGACCGGCCACAUUGGGACUGGGAUACGGCCCGGACUCCUUCGGGAGGCAGCAGUGGGGAAUAUUGCACAAUGGGCGGAGGCCUGAUGCAGCAACGCCGCGUGCGGGAUGACGGCCUUCGGGUUGUAAACCGCUUUCGCCUGUGACGAAGCGUGAGUGACGGUACUGGGUAAAGAAGCACCGGCUAACUACGU
rnacentral:rRNA from 1 species